rnacentral:piRNA from 1 species
ACCUUUAGUCAGGACUGCAGAUAA